rnacentral:rRNA from 1 species
CAGUCGCCGCGGUAAAACGAAGGGGGCUAGCGUUGUUCGGAAUUACUGGGCGUAAAGGGCGCGUAGGCGGCCAUUCAAGUUAGAUGUGAAAGCCCUGGGCUCAACCUAGGAAUUGCAUUUGAUACUGUUUGGCUUGAGUUCGGGAGAGGUGAGUGGAAUUCCCAGUGUAGAGGUGAAAUUCGUAGAUAUUGGGAAGAACACCAGUGGCGAAGGCGGCUCACUGGACCGACACUGACGCUGAGGCGCGAAAGCGUGGGGAGCAAACAGGAUUAGAUACCCCCGUAGUCCCUGUCUCUUAUAC